rnacentral:rRNA from 1 species
AUCGACUAGCAUGCGGAGUCAAGGUGUCUUCGGACGCCGGCAUACGGCUCAGUAACACGCAGUAAACCUACCCUCAGGACUGAGAUAACCCCGGGAAACUGGGGCUAAUAUUAGAUAGAUAAAAGGAUAUUGGAAUGUUCUUUUAUCCAAAGCUUUUGCGCCUGAGGAUGGGCCUGCGUCCGAUUAGGUUGUUGGUGGGGUAAUGGCCCACCAAGCCUGCGAUCGGUACGGGCAGUGGGAGCUGAAGCCCGGAGUUGGGGACUGAGACAAGGCCCCAGGCCCUACGGGGCGCAGCAGGCGCGAAACCUCUGCAAUGCGGGAAACCGUGACAGGGGGAUCCCAAGUGCUCAUGCAUUGCAUGGGCUGUUCUUUGGUCUAAGUAACCAGAGGAGU